CCCAGGCUGAGUCAGUUGUCGACUUUAACAGGCCCACUCUGCUCUGAUUCCUCACAUGGAGUCCACGCGCACGGCUCUUCCCCUUGAACUAUCCGCUCCCACUGGCCCAGGACCCUUGCCAUUUUACAAAGCAGUGUGAUAACUGUUGUCUAAAUGGGUUGAGAGCUGAUAGCAGAUUCUCCUUUAUAACUACUGUAGCUGCAGAAGGACCUGUAUGCGUGUGGAUGGGUUGUGCAGGUGAUUCAGGUGGUGUCCAGGUAACUUACCUGCAGGCUCUAAGAAGAGGAGCAGAUGGAGGGAACAUCUCAGACAGCGUGGUGUAACAGGGAAUGGCCACUGCGUUGUAGAAACCCACCUAAGAGCACAGACAUAUCACACAGCAGCAAGAGCGUAAGACAAUAAAAGUGGGAAGGUACCUGUCCCUGUGGAACCUCAUCCCUCUUAUCCCUGUCCAUCAUCGGAAUGGGCUGCAUUCCUAUCUUCUUCAUUUCAUCCCCCUGAUGAGAAGAGACGAUAAACAU